rnacentral:rRNA from 1 species
AGUAAUGUAUGGGGAUCUGCCUGAUGGCGGGGGAUAACUACUGGAAACGGUAGCUAAUACCGCAUAAUGUCUGCGGACCAAAGCGGGGGACCUCCGGGCCUCGCGCCAUCAGAUGAACCCAUAUGGGAUUAGCUAGUAGGUAAGGUAACGGCUUACCUAGGCGACGAUCCCUAGCUGGUCUGAGAGGAUGAUCAGCCACACUGAGACUGAGACACGGCCCAG